GGCCUCGUAGUUCAGCUGGUAGACGUGCGCUGUACAAAAGCGUAGGUGGCCUCUGUGCAUGGGUUCGAAUCCCACCGAGGCUA
rnacentral:tRNA from 1 species